rnacentral:lncRNA from 1 species
CGGACAUGGGGUUGAGGGUGAUUUUUUUAUUGCACGUUCACAAAUAGGCAUGCUAGAUUAUGCAUUUCAUCUAUCUAUAUAUACAGAUAAAUAGAUUGACCUAUAGGUUCACACACGAUAUCUUUCAUACAUAGUGAUGGUAUCAACUCAUAUGGCCAUGUUCGAUUCGGUGGAAUAAAAAUAAAAUAGAAAUUAGCUUUCGGAGAGAUGGCUGAGUGGUUGAUAGCUCCG